AGGCUAGGCUCACAGCCGGAGCCGGAGAAAUAAUGACUGGCUGCAUGAGUGAUCUUGUCUCUUCUCCUCUCCGAGCCUCCAUUUUCUUAUCCGUGAAAUGGACCUCACAGCACCCAUCUCCAGUGGAAGUAAACGUUCGGUGACGUGAAGAAUUCAGGUGCCCGGGUGGGCUCCUGUCUGGCACAUGAACCUGCAGGUGAAAGGUCCAGCCCAUUUCCCAGGAGAACAAACCGAGGCUCGGAGGUGAAGCCACCGGCUCAAGGUCACAGGCGAGGACUCUGCAGCCGCCCACGCCUGUGUAGCCCUGGGUGGCGGGAGGAGGGCGUAGGCGUGGGGCGAGGCGGGGAGGCAGCCUCCGUAGGCAGAGCGAUGACAGAUAAAUGGCUUGUCCUGUAAA